rnacentral:lncRNA from 1 species
CAAGAGGGGAGAGAGUCCGUGACAGUCCUCCCUGCACUCACUGUGCUAGCAAAGAUGUCCGGGAAGGACAGAAAAGAAUGUAAUGUGCAAUUAAAACAAGGGAGAGUGAUUAAUGUAGGCAAAAAUUAAUCACAAGGGCAGUGUCAAAGUUUGGUGGGACAACUGCGUGUUCAGAAGACACCUGAAAAAAGUGAAAUGAAGAACCAAGGAUCAUCUGAGCAAAGACUCAAGGACCAUUUGAACAAAGACAUCCACAUCUAUACCACAGAUGACUUGGCAUCUAUGGAGGAGUGGAGGACAAGGCUGUUCUCUGAAGUUCCCUUACCCACCUAGAAACCAGAUCCCCAAAGAGGAACACUACGGCCUGCAAUUGCACCCUGCCAUCCACCAGCUCAAGACUGAGGAAUGCAACCAUACCCAGACAGACUUUUUCACAAGACAAUUUCUGCCUCUGGAGCGUGUUCAAAUUCUAAAGAGCAUCAUUUACAAGUAAAUUGCUGUCUCAGGGAAAUAUUCAUUUUCCCUGAAAAUCAUUUACUCCUACACCCCCAAUACCUUCUCACCAAUAAAUAAAGCAUUUAAGGAUCAAC